GAAGCGGCGGCGCAAGCCCGCCGUGGACCGCAUGGGAGUGAGAAUGCAGACAUGAGUAGCGAAAGACGGGUGAAGAUCCCGUCCGCUGGACGACCAAGGGUUCCAGGGCCACGUUCAUCGUCCCUGGGUGAGUCGGGUCCUAAGGCGAGGCCGACAGGCGUAGUCGAAUGGAUGAACGGGUCGAUAUUCCCGUACCGGCAUGCAACCGACAAAACCGAAUCCGCGAGUACUAACCUCCGGGUCCGGGCUUACGUCUCCUUCGGGAGCCGGAUGCCCUGGCCUGUUGGGACCGUAACGGUAGUAGGUCAGCGCGGGAGUGACGCAGAAGGGUAGCCGGCCGCGGAGGUGGUCUUCCGUGGUCAAGCACGCAGCCCGUCCCACAGGCAAAUCCGUGGGGCGCGUGGGCGAGGUGCGAUGAUGGGCGCCGCAGGGCGCGAUAUCCGGUGAUCCCGGCUGCCGAGAAAAGCUUCGGCGUGAGGCGGCGUGCCGCCCGUACCCCAAACCGACACUGGUGGUCAGGUAGAGAAUACCAAAGCGAUCGAGCGAAUCCUGGUCAAGGAACUCGGCAAAUCACUCCCGUUCCUUCGGUUUAAGGGAGACCCCCGAUGGUGAAGCGGCUUGCCCGUGGAGCUUUUGGGGGUGGCACAGACCAGGGGGUAGCGACUGUUUACCAAAAACACAGGAGCGUGCGAAGGCGCAAGCCGCUGUAUACGCUCUGACGCCUGCCCGGUGCCGGAAGGUUAAGAGGAUCCGUCAGGCUUCGGCCGAAGCGGUGAAUUCAAGCCCCGGUAAACGGCGGUGGUAACUAUAACCAUCCUAAGGUAGCGAAAUUCCUUGUCGGGUAAGUUCCGACCUGCACGAAUGGCGUAACGACUUCCCCACUGUCUCGACCAGGAGCUCGGCGAAAUUGCAGUACGAGUAAAGAUGCUCGUUAAGCGCAGAAGGACGAAAAGACCCCGGGACCUUUACUAUACCUUGGUAUUGGCAUUCGGUGUGGAUUGUGUAGCAUAGGCGGAAGGCUUCGAAGCCACGGCGCCAGCCGCGGUGGAGCCGCAAGGUGAAAUACCGCUCUGUUCGCAUUGGAUGUCUAACCUCGACCAGUCAUCCUGGUCAGGGACAGUGCCUGGCGGGUAGUUUAACUGGGGCGGUUGCCUCCCAAAGAGUAACGGAGGCGCUCAAAGGUUCCCUCAGCCCGGUUGGCAAUCGGGUGGCGAGUGUAAGUGCACAAGGGAGCUUGACUGCGAGACUGACGGGUCGAGCAGGGACGAAAGUCGGAACUAGUGAUCCGGUGCCGGUGUACGGACGCGGCAUCGCUCAACGGAUAAAAGGUACCCCGGGGAUAACAGGCUGAUCAUUCC
rnacentral:rRNA from 1 species